UCAGAGAGAGGGUAGGGGCAGAGAAAGAGAACAAGUGAGAGGGAAGGAGAGAGACGAGGAAGGGAGAGAGAAAGAGAACGAGGGUGAGGUCGGAGAUGUAAACCGCAACACACAGCGGUCUACAUCUCCACGUGCAAACCUCAACCAAGUUUGUUUAACUAGAGAAGUAAGCAGUCGGCAACAUUCAUCUCUCGAGGGGGUGUCUAACCUGGUGUUACGGUGUGUUUGACCAUAACCUAAAUUUACGCUGGAAUAUCCCUUUAAUUAUCACCUUUAACCAGCAGUCAGAGCUGAGACUGAACCACGUUUAUGACGAUCCAUUUAAGACCCUGUCUUACUUGUUCAGAGGACUUCUGGGAGCUAAUACUGCGUGUGUUUCACAGGGGGUGAAGAUGAGUUGAGGAUCAAACCUGUGAAUUAUUGUAUGUGAACGAUACCUGUCCACAUGGUGGCGCUGUAACUGCAAUUAAGAAAUGAGCAUUCAGUGGUGGAUCCUGAUUAUAUACUUUAUAAUAGAAUAUCAAACUGAAGACUGUAUGGAGAAGUUAAAUCAACGUCCUGUUGAUCAUAAAUGUUCUUCCUUGAGCUGCGUCACCCCGCUGUAGUCUGUAAUGCACUCGCCUGAGGUCUCGCUACAAACAAGCUGCUGCUGGAAGAGAGUAGGUGAGAAAAAGUUCUUUGAUAACUUUUGAUUUUCAGUCUGUCUACUUUAUACUAACCAUCGUAGGAGUUUGGUUGUUCAAAUAUACACCCUGUCACUCAGAAAUAUAAAACUCGAACCAAAACCUCCUGUUGGUUUUACGGUGAAGGAGCAAGAGGAUUUUUGUAGUUCCAGGGAUGGCCCGAGUUUAACAAUAAUCAUAUAUUUACUGUUCAAACUGUGAGUUUUAGGGCAUGUGAAAGCCUCUAAAUAUGAUCAUUUACACAGAAGGAGGGAAGAGAGACAGAAUCAUUCCUCUCAGCGUUCCCAGGCCCCGACAUAGAUCUGUUUUCUUUGGCGUAUAGUCACCUGAGGUCUUCAUAUCUAUUUGCUGAGUGUCUUCUUUCACAGGAUCCACGUGAUUGAACUUCCAUGUUUCUACAGUAGCUGGAAACAGAGAAACUAAUCACUGGCGUAGAUUCCUGUAUUUUUUUUUUUUGGUUGGUUCUGGGACAUGCUUAGGGAGAAAAUCUGUUUUCAAUCAGAUUCAUUAGACGACACACACGGACUCCAGACAUGCCUCCAGAACUUUCCUACUGCUUGAUAUGCAUCUGUUGACGUCAGGGAGGGUAUCAGAGCUCCUGUGAAAGAAUGUGCACUUCGGUCGAUUUUGGUGAAGUUUGUGAUUAAGGCAGAGCUUCAUCUCUUUUCCAACACUGCAGCGCACAUGAAUAUUUUUAUGAUGUGACCAAAAAUUUCAACCAAAGCCAAAUAUCCACUCAGAGCUCGCCAGUGUGUCCCCACUUCCACUCUAUUACAGAGCGUACUCUGUUCGGAGUCACUCCCACAGCUGAAUGGAGCUCACUUUAUUAAGGUGGAGGGAUCGAAUGUGUUUCAAGCUCUGCAGAGGCAGGAACUUUGUGUUGCCAUGGUAACAUGUCACACAAAUAGAACCUUAUACUCCCCCCCCCAAAAAAAACCUCUCCUCAUCGUCUUUGGUGGCAUUUCUUUAUUUGUAGACAUCGUAUCUGCUUUGUUUUAGAAGGAACUCAAAAUAUGAAACACUUCAAAUCCACAUGUUCUGGAAAAAAAGGUUCAACAGCUCCAGGAUACGUCUUCGACUUUCUGUUUUUUUAUCUGCAGGUAUGAUUAAAAAAAGCUCAUGGCUGUGCAGGUUACAACACCUGACGGUAGUUUAGAGAGCAUGAUGAAGACCUGGGGGGCAGGAAUGUCAGACAUGGAGGUGACUUCAGGACAAAGAUGAUUCACUUCUUACGGAACAGAUCGCCAUGGUAACUUGAGCUGAAUUCACGCCACAUAAUUAUGUUCAGGACAAAAGUUUAGUUUGAAGGAACUUCAUCAGGGAUCUUGAUUGUGGAGCUCAGAGAGUCUUAAUCAGGACAGUUUUACAUUUCAAAAUUACUUUCCUGUCAUUCUUAAACAGACUAAAAGGAAAAUAUUGAUGUUAGGUGUAAAUUUGUGCUAAGUGCUCAAAAAUACCAAUUAUUAAAAUGAUUUUUCUUAAGUUUAAAGCUCCUGUGAGGAUGUUUUGGUUUCAGUCAAAUUUAACAGAGCAGUCUUUGCUGUUCAUGUUGCUCUGGCUUGUUUUUUUUGAGCAGCUGUCUGUUUUUAGUCAAAUGUUUCAUUCAUGCAGAAUAUUGUAAAAACAGGACUGUCUCUAGGCUGACACCUGCACUCUCACACUGGUUUCAGGAGUCGAAUAUUAGGAUAUAAAAAUCUUCAGUCUUGUCCCUGAUGGUCUGAUUUGCAUUUGGAUGUUUUAAAAAAAACAUCAGCAUGAAUUAAAGUCUGUUUCAUAAACAUAAAAAAAACUCCUCAUGGGAGCUUUAAGAGUAAAAUACUCAUAUAAUAGCGAUCUCUUGACUCAAACAGCUCAGUUUGAGAUGCUUACUGGAUAAAAAUACACAUAAAUUUUAAAAAACAUUUAAUCUUUAAAUCUUUUUUUUACAAUUCAGCUCUGUAUAACCUCCAGGCAGAGCCCAUAACCUCCGUCUGCGAGUCUUUCCUGUGUUAUUAUUACUAGACUGGUGCUUACUCGACAUUAAAAGUAACAGUGACCCACACGGUUGACCUGUUUUUAUAACCAAGAUUAAUUUUAUUGGUGUAAUAAUACAUCAUAAAUGUGCCCCAUAUCAGCCUUUAUUUACAUCAAGUUACGUGUGAAGUGAGUCAGGUUGAAUAAGUGCUCUCACUGUACGUUAAUCCUGGUGUAAUUUGGGCGUUUUGAUGUGCACUGAACAAACAGGCACGUGCAGCUCGUGCUGUUUAGUGUUUGGCAGAGCCCUCAAUGCGGAGAACACUCUGUCCUCUCCACCUAUAUCAUGAGCGCCAGCAUACUUCAGAUAGUUGCAGUAACCCAGUUUUUGCGGUGUUUUGAUUCUGCCCUCUAUACUUACUUUAUGAAGUAAGAUAUGCAAAUCUAAGGAGGGACGUCUUAGUGGAAUGUAGGUCAGAGGUUGUUUAAGGUAGGACUCAGGACAGACACAAUGAAGAUAACAGUCAAAUUAAAAGUGUAUUGUUCAGCUGUCAUCCAGCCUGUCUGAGCUACAGUGAGCGUUCAAUCAUCUCUGGAUAAACGCACAAAGUAAAGAGCAGCCGGUCUGUGGUGUCUGAAGGGACCUCUAAUGUAAAGAACACAGUGUUCCCAUCACCAGCAUCAUUAACAGUCUGUCAGGCUAAAAAUAGAGCAGCGGGACUACAGAUCCUGUGAUCACGUCUGAAGUAUUUUGAUUCAGUUUGUGGUGGUUUGCUCGGGUGUGAUGCAUCGAAACUUCUUUAUAGGUUUCUAGUAAAAUAAAAACGAUGUUAAAGAGACAUCAGGGGUAAGUGAAAGUAACGCGUUUGAGUGAAAAUCUGUUUUCCUUCAGAUGUGUCGCACACAUGUUGAUCAUUCUUCACUUCUUAUGCUGUUAAAUGUUUUUAAACCCUUUUCUGCACUCUCUUCUGAAAUGGGAUUUAAAAAUGUAAAAAAUGCAAAUGUAAGAUAAUUUGUUUAUUUGUUUUGGAUAAAGAAUGAAUCAUUCAUGCAUCAUCUGCUCUUGGCUUGACUUUUGGACUUCACUUUUCCCCCGUUUCACUAAAUCUGCUUCGACAAAAACUGCUAAUUUUUUCAGCAGCCAAGACUUUUAAUCAGGGUGAAUCACAAAUCCUACAUCCCUGCAGUUUCAGCUUCACUGCACUGACUCUUUCAAGCAUUUUAUAGCCAAUCUCCAGUUUAUAUUUCAGAGGUUUAAACCCCCUCCUAUAAGAUCCUCCUCAUGAGACCCUCACAUCUAUAAAAUAAAGGUGACUGCUUUUGGCUGUUUAAGCCCCCAGACUCUGGAAAAAUCAAUCACUAAAACACUGAUCUGAUACAUGAUUGUCUGUGAACACAGUGUGUUACUUCUUCCACAAGUAGUUUAAACCAGAUUAUGCAAAAUGGAAACUGUGAAAAGUCAAAAUCCAGAAACCUUGGGGACUUUAGAUGGUCUGAAGCUCUCUGAGGAAGACAGGCAGUUUAAAAGUCAGCAUUCAUGAUAGUGUGAGGAUGAAUGAGGUCAGUUUACAUACCUGAGACCAUUAAAGCUACUGUGAGGAUUUUUUUGUUUUGUGUUGAAAUUAGCGCCCCCUGUGGACAAAGUAACACCUCUUGUCCUGUAUUGGCUCCUCCCCUCUCACUGCAGUUCAAACAUCAGCCACCUUGCUGAUGGUCUUUUUCACUUUUGAAGCUUCAGUGUUAGUUUCAGUCUGUUUCUCUGCCCCUCACGGUGCCUUUAAUGCUCUACAACAGUGGUUCUCAACUGGUGGGUCCCGACCCAAAAGCGGGUUGCAGACACGUUCUGGAUGGGUCACUAACAGCUGGUCAAAAUAGUCUGUAUGAGCAAUUUCAGUAGUUGUCGCCCUCAUGUUGUCCCCUCCAUGUGCUCUGAAAUGCACUUUACUCAAUAAAACAAGUGGAUUUAUGUUAAAGAUUAGAGUCUUUAAAGGUUGUCUUUUAUAAAAAAAAAAAAUUUGCUUGGUUUGAAUUCUAUAAAAGUGGGUCACGACUUAAGGACCAUGGAAAAAUGUGGGUCCCAGAGUGAGACCAGUUGAUAAUCACUGCUCUACAAUAUGUACAGGAUUAGGAGCAACAAUUGCCGACAUCCAGAUGAUACUUCCUCAGAAAAGUCUUCUAAUAGUUAGCCUAAUAAAAGGCCAAAUCACAUUCUGUAAAAAUAAAACUGCAUGGCUCUGUAGUAGAAGAGUCCCGGUACUAAAAUGACAAGACAAGCAGAAACUGCUUUGUCCACAACAGGCGCCAGAACUGACAAAAAUCAUCCCAGGAACAUUAAAAUGAGCGUGGAUGUUUAUAUAUCCUAAAAUCAAAAUGUCAAUGUAACUCACGGUGACCCUGCUUUUGUACAUGAUCAAGAAAAUUUGGUCAUUACGGUGGUUUAGUGGGGCUGUAGGUAAAUGCUGACACCAACAGAAAC